UUCAUUUGUUCUUCACGUAAAAUCCAUUAAUGUCCAAAAAUUUUCCAUUCCUGUAAGGCCGUUCCUUUGCAAAACCAAGCCAAAGAAUUCUCAAAAAUCAAUAAUCAAAAUCCCUAAAUUUUCACUUUGCCCCUGCCGGACGGACUCUCGGGAAUUGCUGUGAUUCACCGCCUCAUGCCUGGGCCGCCUUGCUGCGGACUUGGGUUUGGUUUUAGGGAAAGUAAUUUACUAAUUAGAUUCUUAGAACAUGAAAAAUUGUGCAAAGUUUUGGGACCAUUUGCACCAAUUUUCUAUUAAGUAUUAAAAUUGGAAUAUGAAAUACUAUAAUGUAUUUAUUCUAUUUAAAUUUUUAGAUUUAAUAAUCGUCUUUGUAACUACUUUUUAAUAAUUUGAAAUGAGAGUGCAAAUUAGAACUAAAACAGGCUAUUUAUGAAAACUUUGAUUCUUCCUAUCAAAGAAAAUUAUUUUUCUUUAGUUUCUUUCUGGGCAUGGUUAACAAUCAUAUACACAUUCAAAUCCAUCUUUUCAUUCUCAGCAAUUAGAAUUUACAUAGUUAAAUAUGAAGUUGGAAAGUGGAAAGUGUGGGGUAAUGCAGAGAAAGUUGCACAGAACUUGGCCUUGGUGCUUGCACUAAAGAUUCAUAUGGGGAACGAAUUAAAAUCUUUCAAUAUCUUUUCAAUUAAUUAUACUUAGUUUGUUGUAUUGUAUUUUGUAUAUGAUAAAUAUUCGGUGAAUGGUUAUAAUAAGAAUGAAGACGGCAAAAGGCAGAAAUAAAUUAAUGGAAUUUGUUCGAGAAUGAGAUAUUGGUCGUUGGAAUAAUUAAUUAUACUUGAUAUUUUGGGUAGUUAUUAUAUUUCUUGUUUGUCUUUUAAUUAUGUGGGAAUUGGGAAUUGAAAUUUUUUUUUUGGCAUUUGGCGGUUGGCACUUAUUCACUUGAUGGUGCUUAUAGUUGAAACGGAAUGAUUGCCUCCUGAAAAAAAAUUGAGUUCUUUGCAUACUUAUCAAUGUAAUAUCAGAGCAUAUGUUAUUUGACAAUUGUUUGAGAUCUUGGAAUAAUGGAAUUUGUAAUUGGUAACUUAUAUUAUGAAUUUUUCUUAUUAUAUAUAAAUUUUAUUCGUACAUUAAAUUUUUAAAAUUUUAUCCCAUCAUAAUUGUAAUUCCUGCUCUGCCCCUGGAAGCAACUCCAAAACUUCAAAACUACCUCAACCCCAAGACCAUCAUUGCUAUGUGCAAUGAUGAGCUCAACUAAGCACAACCCUGCAAGAGUCCUGCAAACAGCGCGUCGGUGAUCUUGUGACUAAAGAAUGAGGAAAGUGAGAAGUUUUGUAACCUUUUGUUUGGAUAGAAAAAUGAAUUAGAGUUAAUG
rnacentral:lncRNA from 1 species